rnacentral:rRNA from 1 species
UACGAAGGGGCUAGCGUUGCUCGGAAUCACUGGGCGUAAAGGGUGCGUAGGCGGGUCUUUAAGUCAGGGGUGAAAUCCUGGAGCUCAACUCCAGAACUGCCUUUGAUACUGAAGAUCUUGAGUUCGGGAGAGGUGAGUGGAACUGCGAGUGUAGAGGUGAAAUUCGUAGAUAUUCGCAAGAACACCAGUGGCGAAGGCGGCUCACUGGCCCGAUACUGACGCUGAGGUGCGAAAGCCAGGGGAGCAAACGGG